ACACUGGCCGUCCCACCACCAGGGUCACGUGGUGGAGCAGUGAGAAGUAAGGAUGAGCCCUGUACUAGUGUUGUUACCUCCCACCCUCCUGCUUCGAAGCUUGUGUUGAAAUAUGAACCAGUGCAGGCGAAGCAAACGUGUCGGUGCUCGAUUUGUUCGCUGCUGAUCACGUGAUCAGUGACGUCCGAAGCUUCGUUCCUGCGUCACGUGACCGCUUCGAUUUGAUUCAAUGGGCUGGAAACAGGGUUCGGGCUUGUCGGUUUGAUACAGUCAAAGUCAGUGUUGUAGUAGUAGUAGUAGUACAACUAGUAGUUGUAGUAGUAGUAGCAAAGACCUGUGGCAGAGAGAGGUCGCUCCGAGAUGUGGGAGCACUUUAAUUUGAUUUCCUCUAACAAGGUUUGUAAUAGGCAGACAAAGUCUGUCAUUUGUAUUGUGUAAUUAUGGAUGUUUAUUUUUAUUGUGGAGACCACCCGAUAUUUGGCUGAAUCAAACAUUCAUCGGAGUGAAGAACCGCUAAAAUAUUGGAUCAAACACAAACACGUGUACCCACAUCUAUUUGUAUUCAGCACGUGAUCUUUUGAGUAUUCCUGCCUCAUCGAGCCGUGUGAGCGCCUUUUUUCAAAAGCUGGGGAAACAGUAUCUAAGAAACCGACUCAACCCCAAUACUGUGGAGAAAUUGUGUUUCUCAAUAAAAAUCAAUAAUCAAUAUCCUGUCAUAAGAAACCUGUCAGCACGAUCACUGCCCCUCUGACCUUUCCUCUGUGAUCACUUCCCACAUUCAAACAAUUCACAGAAGUCCCUGUGACUGAACUGCACAUGCAGUAGCAAGCACUUGCUGGUGUUUUAAAUUAUAUUACCUACAUAUAACUCUAUACUAUAUAUAAUCUAUCUUCUAUUAAUUAUUCUGCUAGUAUGAUCACAAACAUACAUGCACAAAGGUGCAGAAAGACAUAGAUAAGUGUGUGUUCCACUUCUUGUUAAUGUACAGAGAAUUGAAAUACACAAACAAGGACACGAGUCAAACCUGAAAACAAUAGUUUUAUUCAUAUAGGAAUCCAUGUGUUUAUUAGAUGAUUUAUUGGUUCAACUUUUCAUAAUCAGAGAUUGGGCCAAAAUAUACUGGUGGGCUGUUCGAUACAUUUGCACUACAAGUUUUCAACAGCAGACGUCAUCAUAGAGUUUGAGAUGCAUUGAAUGAAUGAACCUUUUUACGAUACGAUUGGCUGGAAAGCUUCACUUUGCCAUCACUACAUACAAGUCACAUUGUGUAUUGGUAUUAUUGUUUUUGUUGUUUCUUGUUCUUCUGGGUUUGUAUCCUUAUGGUUGAAAUGCACUUAUUGUAAGUCGCUUUGCAUAAAAGCGUCAGCUAAUUGACAUGUGAUGUAAUGAAGGUGUGAAGGUGUGGACUCUGCUAUGAAUCCGGCUGAGGACCCAGAGGACGGAGUCCCUCCCUCUGAAGCCCCUCUGUGUGGGGAACAUGACAGCCAGACCAAAGCUCAGAGGAUCCAUCAGAGACCAGGAGAAGAUCUAAGGAGACUUCUACAGUAAGAAGUAAAAACAGAUGAAACUGAUGACUAACUGUCACUCAACUAAUAAACUGUCCAUCGACAGUCUUCAGCAUCUGGUUUUCAUGAUGAUCAAUGACAGAAGCUGG
ensembl:lncRNA